AUGGUAAUCGUUCUGUUACUGAAGUAUAUGAAAAGCAAUUAAAGCAUUUAAGUAAAUUGUAAUUAUUAAAAUCGACAAUUACGUAACUAUUAAAAUAUGUUAUCUGAAUAAUCUGGCAUUUCCAAGCAAACAGCCGUGUAGUUUUCUUCACCAAACGCGUGUUUUUAUUUUCAUAAUUGCGUCACUUACUUAUCAAGAGUCGCCAAGCUUAAUAAAGCUACUCGUACGUCUUUGCUAAUAUCCUAAAAACUCGAAUUCAGUGCUAAAAUAGAAAGACAAAUCAUUUAAACCUUUGGCCUACAACGCACUAGUGGCUGGCCGCAAUGCGGUGUGCCGCUGCGGCAGGCCGCACAUCGAUUAUUACAUAAAACCGCACGAUAACGACGCACUGACUUGCGGACAACCGUCAACCGCUCCGGGUGUUCUGGGGCUGCGACGAGCCGCACCGGUUGAAUGAUGCGGUGCGCCGCGUCCCCUCCACGCACUCGGUGCGGUUAACCGCAAUUCGCAAAUACCACGUCCUACCCGCCUGACGCCUCAGUCAUCGCUUGUUCCUCGCGCUAGACACUACGCAGAGUGCGCGUCAUGGAUUUUGAUACAGAAAAGUUCAUUUUAGAAAUCAAAGACCGCCCCGCAAUAUGGGAUAGCAAAUGCGCUGAUCAUCCAGACAGAAAUAAAAGGUUAAAAUGUUGGGAGGAAGUGAUUAAUAUAUAUGCAAAUGAAGAUGAUACACCAGAAGAAAAGGAAGAACUCGGUAAAGUACUUAUGAAAAAAUGGCGGAAUAUUAAAGAUAAUUUUGUAAAAGCUUCUAAAAAAUUAAAAAACAUGAAAAGCGGUUCAGGUGCCAAACAAAAAAGCCCAUAUACCUAUUAUAAUAUUUUAUUAUUCUUAAAAGACUCAACUAUAGUAAAAUAUGAGACAGAGUCAGACAUUGACAACGAUCUUUCCCAAAAUCAUGAUGGCCCAUAUGAAACAUCACAGAAUGUAGCUAAUCAGAAAAGAAGGAAGAAAAGCAAUAAUAAAGACGUUAUUGGACAACAAUUGGUAUCAGUAUUGAACAAAAACUUGGAGUAUAAAAAAGAAAUGGAAAAUGACGAUGACAAGUUGUUUUUGUUAUCCCUUUUAAAAGAGUUCAAAAAAAUUCCAGAUUCUAAUAAAUUGGAAGCGAGAUGUGAAAUCAUAAGAGUUAUAAGAAAUGCUCAACAACCAUAAUUUCAUUAAAGUUAUCCUAUUAGGCAAUUUGAUCGAGGGUAUCGAAACCAUAUUAUGUAUGAAAGUGAAUAUGCUGGAAGGGAAUAUCAAACACUUGAUAGUGACUACACUGGCCGAGAGUAUCAGAGUAGACUCAAUAAUAAAGAAUCCACAACUACAACCACCAAAACCGUCCGUUACCAAAACCGUCAAAAUCUACCAGGUACAUCCACGUACACAAUGAAUACAACUGGAGAGGCAACUCAGGAUUCGGCUAACCAACCAAGACGACGACUCUUUGCUGUCAUGUCGUGUCUCCAAUAGGGGAUGUAUCCAAAAUGGAUCGUCAUGCUCGCUUAAAUGUCAUUGCUUGUGGCGGCGUCCAUGCGU